rnacentral:rRNA from 1 species
GACGAACGCUGGCGGCGUGCCUAACACAUGCAAGUCGAACGGAAGUAAGAGCUUCGGUUUUUGCUUUAGUGGCGAACGGGUGAGUAACGCGUGAGCAACCUGCCUAUCAGAGGGGAACAACAGUUAGAAAUGACUGCUAAUACCGCAUAUGCCUAAGUAACACAUGUUGCAAUAGGGAAAGGAGAAAUCCGCUGAUAGAUGAGCUUGCGUCUGAUUAGAUAGUUGGUGGGGUAACGGCCUACCAAGUCGACGAUCAGUAGCCGGACUGAGAGGUUGAACGGCCACAUUGGGACUGAGAUACGGCCCAG